UAUAAUACAUUACAGUUCAAAACUGUUUUCCUGGCUCUGUAAAAUGAGAAACAAAACAAUGCACAGAAGGGAGGUGUGUGUUUGACAACAACCACCAACCUUUCACCAGGAUGGACAACUACACCUUUAAUGAGGUUGUACAGCUCUGCUUAAAAAGUGGUCAUCAUCCAUGAAGGAAUAAAACCACUCUUCCUCUUGGUCAUCCAUGAAGGAAUAGAACCACCCUUCCUCUUGGUCAUCCAUGAAGGAAUAGAACCACCCUUCCUCUUGGUCAUCCAUGACCAAAAAUCCAAAACGUCUUUUGAUAAUCCACCACUGUAUUCUCGAUCAUAACCUCUGGGUUGGGUGUGAAAUGGAUAGUUAAACAAGACAGUAGAUGUAACCUGCAUUAUGAGAAGCACAGUCCUCUCCUCUCCUCUCCCUGAGACAAACCCACAGCCUUAGACACAGGGGAGUGUGCUCAUCAAGGAGGCGUAAACACCGGUGUAUGAAUCUGUUGUUUCUCUUAAUGGAUAUUAUAUAUUAGAUAUGGCAAGUGAGUGAGGUUCUCUCAGAGCUAAGUGCUGUACCUGCUGGCCAUUGUUAUACAAGCCCACACCUCCACUUCCUCUGUGUGCAUCAGAGCCAUUGUGGGUGGCCCAUCCCAAAUCUGAGCUUUAAGCGUUCAAUUGUUCAGGAAUGGUUUGAGGAACAUGACAAAGGAUUCAAGGUAUCGACUUGGCCUCAAAAAUUCCCCCAGAUCUCAAUCCGAGCGAGGAUCGAGCAUGCGUGGGAUGUGCUGAAAAAAACAAAUCCGUUCCAUGGAGGCCCCACCGUGCAACUUAGGACUUAUAUAUAUUGCUAAUGUCUACCACAAGACACCUUCAAAGGUCUUGUGGUGUCUAUGCCUUGACGGUUCAGAGCUGUUUUGGUGGCAGGAGAGCGACCUACACACUAUUAGGCAGGUGGUUUUAAUGUUGUAGCUGAUCGGUGUAGAGUUCCCAAACUGGCCCAACUACCACCACCACUUUGUAAGGUUUGUCACUCUGCUUGAGGUCACACUAGCAGCUAUGGAGGGGCACACUAAGUAAACAGGGGAUAUGUGGGAAAAACCUUGCUGCUCUACACUGAGAAAUAAAAAAGGCCAGCAAAAAAUGUAUUUACAGUUUUACUUAAGAAAAGGGAAGGUGUAGUAUACUAAAAGGGAAGGUGUAGUAUACUAAAAGGGAAGGUGUAGUUUACUAAAAGGGAA
ensembl:lncRNA